rnacentral:rRNA from 1 species
CCAAUAGCGUAUAUUAGUGUUGUUGCGGUUAAAAAGCUCGUAGUUGAAUUUCGGGAUUGGGAUAUAUCGGUCGUGCCUUUAGGGGCAUGAAUCGGUGUGUGGCCAAUUCUCACCUUCUGGUGAAUUGGGAUGCUCUCGGGUGUUUCAAUGAACUAGGACUUUUACUUUGAAAAAAUUAGAGUGUUUAAAGCGGGCAUUUUUGCUUGAAUACGUUAGCAUGGAAUAAUAAAAUAGGACGAUGGUUCUAUUUUGUUGGUUUUAGGACCACGUAAUGAUUAAUAGGGAUAGUUGGGGGCAUUAGUAUUCAAUUGUCAGAGGUGAAAUUCUUGGAUUUAUUGAGGACUAACUACUGCGAAAGCAUUUGCCAAGGAUGUUUUCAUUAAUCAAGAACGAAAGUUAGGGGAUCAAAGACGAUUUAUGUACGUCGUAGUCCUAACCAUAAACUAUGCCGACUAGGAAUCAGACAAAGUUAAUUUUUUAACGACUUGUUUGGUACCUUACG